AUGACUGAUCGUGAGCUGCUUCUUAGUCUUCACCAGAAGGUGGAUCGAAACCAUAAAUGGGUUAAGUGUCAGUUUGGUUCUAUUCUUCACAACAUGACUGCUACACAUAAUGCAGUGAAGAAAAACCAUUACUACCUCCAUGAAGUCUUUGGUCGCACCUGGGCUAUUCUGUCACAUGAUGGUGAAGAAGAUCUGAAGCAAAUGGGUCUCAAGGAGGACUUUGACUGGUCUGCACCUCCACCAAAGAAAUACAAGAAGGUCAAGGUUCCUUCCUUGGUGGCCAGCUCAUAUUCUUCAUCGCACGAAACCGACGAGCAUGAAGACUUGGACGACACUGCGGCAGGCCCUACUACGACAAACGACCCCAACAACGCUGGCGCUCCUCCAUCAACAUGA
rnacentral:rRNA from 1 species